UACAGAGGGUGCAAGCGUUGUUCGGAAUUACUGGGCGUAAAGCGCGUGUAGGCGGUCUGUUAAGUCUCGUGUGAAAGCCCUGGGCUCAACCCAGGAAGUGCGCGAGAUACUGGCGGACUGGAGUGGCGGAGAGGAUGGCGGAAUGACCCGGUGUAGAGGUGAAUUCGAUAGAUAUCGGGUGGAACACCUGUGGCGAAGGCGGCCAUCUGGACGUCAACUGACGCUGAGACGCGAAAGCGUGGGGAGCGAACAGG
rnacentral:rRNA from 1 species